rnacentral:lncRNA from 1 species
UGGCUCAGUGGUAAAGUGAGAAUUUAGCAAGUGCAAGGUCCUGGGUUCGAUUCCCAGCACCAGCUCCCCACCAACACCAAAAAAAAAAAAGUAGAUGUUUGGUUUCCCUUUCUUAGCUUUAGUAAGUCUAUAAGGCUGGCCCAGGGCCCCCCUUCAAAUCAGAGAUGGGUCGAUGCCAUGGAAGUCAUCAAAGGAACUCAAAAUGCCUGUCCUACCCCUGCAGCCAAGUGUGUUGGGAUUUUUGUCAUUGCAUGAAUGAGGAGCAUGAGUUUUAACAAAUUUUGAACUGCUCACCCAACUUCAGCUUAUCUUAAUUCCUGUAAACUCACAUAUUCCUCCCAUAGUCAAAAUUAGAGUUAUAAAUCAGCACAAAUUAGGAUAACAGCUGCUCCUCAGUCAGCUGGUAGCAACUCAGUGGCCUGACAGGCAAAGAAUAAAUGGGUGAUAUAUCUCUGUUUAAAGGAAAAAAAUGGCUCCAAAGCUGUUAUAUUCUCACGUCUUCCUCCAAUAGAAUCUGAUCCAAAAUGAUGAGGUCAAUCAAAAUCCCAAAGAGUGGAGCCCUACCCCAAGAAAAAUCAUUUUAAGAUGGAAAUAUAAGAGUAGCAUAGGGAACCCAAUUGCCAUUCAUGCAUUUUGGGGUAUCAGGUAGGUAAUUUAGACACAUUUUGUAUUUUUAAAGGCAUUUACCCACUCUCUAGUUUUGAUCUUAUUUUUUUUUUUCAGUACUGGGAUAUGUAUAUUCCUAAAUCACUAUUAUGUUUUCUCUAGAAAUCACAGGUUUAAAGCACUAUAAUGCUGCCAAAAUUGCUCACUGAAAGUUAACGUAAACUGAGUCAUGUGUCUUUAUCAGAAUCAUUGUGUGCCGUGGGACACAGCAGCACCCACUGCCCUGUAAAUGGAAGCAUCUCUAAUUCCCGCCAUCAGCUACCUCUCAUUUUUCCACCUUCAUCACCAUGCUCCAGGGUCACCCUGGCCAGCUCUUGUGCUGGGACAGGGGAUUACACCAUCUCUGUUCAAAGAGGGGGAAAUGUGCCUAUGCCUUAAGUCAAUGCACUCAGCAAGGAGAAGCACAUCCUAUUUAUCUUGUUACCUGUAGUUUAUUUUGGGUGAUUGGAGAGGAAUGGUUUAGUUAUGACUGGGCAUCAACAGCUGGUAGACACACCAAAUGGUUAACAGAUGUGGACUCUACGGAGCCCAGAGUGGAGAUGUAACUGGCUUAGACUGUCCUGGAUGCCAUUUGACAAGCAACGGCCCCGCAAUUCUAAAAUGAAGCCGUAUGUAUUGGCCUGAAUGUUUUUUUUUUUUUCCUUCUUCAGUAAGGUUCUAAUUUUUCUUCCUUCUCAAGCAGAGGACGGUUUGUCAUGAAAGAUAAAGAGUUUUGAUAUUUUUGAGGUGUCACUCAAGCAUCAGGCUGAGGUUGGAACACAUGGGUUGUCAAAGCAAACUGUGUGUUGCUUGGUUUCUUGGAGGGUGGGAUGGCCAAGCAACUCAGCUGGUUUCUCCCAGGCUCGCUCCUCUCGUUCUUGCUUGGAUGUCACGCAGAAGAAUUGGGUUGGUCGAUCUUAGGGAAAGUCCAUAGGAUUGCUGAGUUGGUAGUACUAAGGUCUAAAAAAAGAAUACAAUAAAAGACAUCGGGAUACUCUGGAUUGGGAUUACCAAUAUCCUGUUGGGUCACCCUGCCAGAAUCGGCAUGUAUCACACCCAGGGCUUUUCCCAGCCAGGAAAAAUCUCUAGUUGGCUAUUCAGAUCACCUACCGAAUAGCAUUCAGAUAAACCAUACAGCUCACAAUAGAUUGUGGCUAAAUACCUUAGGACAGGUUUGUACUUGAAGCAGACAGACAAACCAUCUCUGCAUUUUGCCAUCUCACAUACAUCAUCUAUUGAUGAUGAGGAAACAAGAGUUCCCUGAACCUCUUUCCUCUGAUUUUGUUUUAAUCGUGACAAAUGUCUGAGAUGAGCACCUUGGGAGGUCUAUGCCAAUUAAGAAGAAGAAACACUGGUAUAGUCCUCUUGCAAAAUUUAAUUCUAAAGGUAAUCAGAUCACAAGUUGAAUAAAAAAUAAUAGUAAUCACGAUUAUAAAUGAAGCACCUUUGCAGGACGCGGGAUUGAAAGUCUGCUUUCAUUUACAUUAAGUGACCACAAUGUAUAAGUUAAUAAGCAGAAACUCCAGUGUGGAUGAAAUUAUGCAUUUUAUUUCAGACUUUAGAAAUUGGUAAAAUAUACUCAAAGAUCUUCAAUGUACUUUUUCCCUCGUCCCAAUGCCCUCUAAACGGAAUCUCUUUCCGUGGUCAUAAGAGAAAGUUUUAUUUGAAUUCUGGGGAAAAAAUAGAUUUUACAUUAAAAUCUGCUAAUCCCUAAUUUUAAAAAACAAGAUUCUUUCUAAUCUUUGUAUAAAAUACCUGCUAGACAAUCACACUUUGGGGUAUAGUAAACACCUGGCAAUAUAAUAAAGAGUUCAAACAAUUCUUCAAUAUACUGGAAGUUCUAAUAUGAUACUAUUCUCCAUAUCUUUUAUAAAUGAAAAAAUCUCCAAAUAUGUUUAACAUUUAGUUCUAUUUGAUCUCUGCUUGAUAAGUCAUGAAAUUUCCAUCUUGGGAAAAACUUCAGUGUGAUGGAGGUUUUUGAAAGCCUUAUGGUGGCACCUACCAAGGUGGAAACUUGACAUGUGGCUUUGUGAUUGUUUUGUUGCCCAAGAGAUAAACCUUAUAAACUUGAAUUGGCUUCCAACUUCUUUUAAGUCAUAUUCCCUUUGGAUAAUUUUCACUGUACAUCCAGCAGCCAUAGACCAAAGAUUGCUUGAGGUUUGACCCUAAAGCAAGGGUCAGCAAACUCUAACCUGGAGACCAAAUCUGAUUCAUUACCAGUUUUUGUAAAUAAAGAUUUAUUGGAACACAGCCAUGUGCUUUAAUUUGCAUGUUGUUUGUGACUGAUAUCACUCUGUGACACCAGGGUUGUCAGAACUCAUGUGGCCUGCUAAACAUAAUGAUGGCUAUUUGGAUCUUCAUGGAGAAAGUUUGCUGACCCCUGACCUAGAGGUCAUUUGUGGUACAUGUCGGACAUAGCAGGAGAGAAAGCAGAUCCCCUAGUAGCAAGGGUAAGCCUGCAUUUCUGUGUGAGCAUGGGAAUAUAAAUACUUGGCAAACUAAUUUAGGAAGGAAGAGCUUCCUUAAAACUACAUGAAGAAAUGAUUCAUCUGUUGGAGAAACAUAAGAUCAGAGGAUUUGGGGGGUCAGGGAGAACAGAAUGAGGGGCAGCUUAGUGGAACAGGAAAGUUGUGAUAGAUCCUCUGAAUCUUUUCGGAGGAUUCUUAAUAAAUGGAUCAGCAUCAUUGUGUGACAAGAGGUGAAGCAGGGAUGGGUUGAAAUGGACAAUCUCUUUCCUGAAAACUCUUUCUGGAACUAUCUAAUCUCACACAGAAGUUCCCACCUCACCUGCCCAUUCUCCAGAA